rnacentral:lncRNA from 1 species
GCGGGGUGCGCGAGUGAGGAGGGCGGGGUGCGCGAGUGAGGAGGGCGGGGUGCGCGAGCGAGGGCGUCCGGCCGGCAGGUGGCACUGUGGCGUCGCCGUGGGCCGAGCCUGGCGAAGCGCUGCUCGCCCGAGAUCGCGCAGCUUGAUCAAAUGAAAAGACGAGAAAACAGCUUCUAUCACCAUGACAGCCACCUGGACACACCUAUCUCUGUUGGCAAGGGGGAGCAUUUGGAAAAUGGAAGUGCUUGGUCCCCAACAGAUGCCUACUUGACACUUGCUGAUGGACAGCUUGUCAAUUUCAUCUAACAAACCGGAAUCACUGGGGCCAUCCAGGAAUCACAGCAGCUCAUGAAGAAAUUCCACAUGAACAGGGCUGUUAAAAGCCAACCCGCCAGAAAGGGUAGAACGGAGGAAGGACAAGAGGGUUCUAACACCUCCUGGAGGCAGAGCACCCACGGAAGUUUCUCAACACUUCUCGUUGAUUCAAGUGGAACACCUUGAAGAGAGGCCCUUCUGUUUCCCUACACGGUGGACAGCAGAGCUCUGAAAAUUAGAUGCUUCCCCAAACCCAGACUCUCUUGGAACAUUCUUCCCAUGCGGGUGGUAUGAACUGCGUGGCACUGCUGUCCUCGCUGGCAUAUAUAGAUUUACACUCCACGCACGAGACUUCCAAGGCAACACCUAGGAUUUAGAGACUAUGUUCUCAGAGACGGGCAUGGAGGCAACGUCCUGGUUCUCAUGUGGUCAAGAAGGUAGAUGGAGAGAAACGUGUGCUAAGCAGCCCGGCCCUCCCCAGAGAAGCCACGGGCAGAGGCUCACCAACACCUGCCCCUCCCUCCAUGGUGUCGCCGGCUUUCAGAAUAAAGCCUUUUCUAGCAU